CAGAACUUUGCUUAAAACUACAGUACGAUGAGAUCGCCCCGGAAGUCCAUCAUGAGAGGACCAUGUGAACGGCAGAACCCUGGGCGGUAGAAUAUCACAAUGGACGGGCCGAAGAAAAGCAGGCAAAGAUUGGGAAGGAAAGAUCAACCCCGCAAAAUACGAACAAGUCUAUGCAGCCACCUUGCCAACAGCUAACCGACUGGAUGCUGCUGCCCUUGCUCACGCCAAACCAGAGCAGCAGGCUGAAGAACGAACAGCACCGGAAACAGGAAGUGUGAGCUGCUCGUGAGCCUUCUGAUUCGCUCCCCCGUCUCCGGAAGGUAUUUCUUCCUCAUACCCACAACGCGCAGAGUCGGCCACGUCCAAAUCUCUGCUCAGAAGUCACCUUCCCUUAAUUUACAGACACAGUGCUCUGGCCUAUUCCCACGAGCAAAUCCUCUACCCCGAUCCUGUAUUUUUA
rnacentral:lncRNA from 1 species